UACGGAGGGUGCGAGCGUUAAUCGGAAUUACUGGGCGUAAAGCGUACGCAGGCGGUUUGUUAAGCGAGAUGUGAAAGCCCUGGGCUCAACCUGGGAACUGCAUUUCGAACUGGCAAACUAGAGUGUGAUAGAGGGUGGUAGAAUUUCAGGUGUAGCGGUGAAAUGCGUAGAGAUCUGAAGGAAUACCGAUGGCGAAGGCAGCCACCUGGGUCAACACUGACGCUCAUGUACGAAAGCGUGGGGAGCAAACAGGAUUAGAAACCCCAGUAGUCC
rnacentral:rRNA from 1 species